rnacentral:rRNA from 1 species
GACGAACGCUGGCGGCGUGCUUAACACAUGCAAGUCGAACGGUGAAGGGACUGGUUUUGCUGGUCCUGGAUGAGUGGCGAACGGGUGAGUAACACGUGAGUAACCUGCCCCCUUCUUCUGGAUAACCGCAUGAAAGUGUGGCUAAUACGGGAUAUUCUGGGUCUGUCGCAUGGUGGGCCUGGGAAAGAUUGCGCCUUUUUUGGUGUUUUUGGUGGGGGAUGGGCUCGCGGCCUAUCAGCUUGUUGGUGGGGUGAUGGCCUACCAAGGCGGUGACGGGUAGCCGGCCUGAGAGGGUGGACGGUCACACUGGGACUGAGACACGGCCCAGACUCCGACGGGAGGCAGCAGUGGGGAAUAUUGCACAAUGGGCGCAAGCCGGAUGCAGCGACGCCGCGUGAGGGAUGGAGGCCUUCGGGUUGUGAACCUCUUUCGCCAGUGAAGCAGGCCUGCCUCUUUGUGUGGGUGGGUUGACGGUAGCUGGAUAAGAAGCGCCGGCUAACUACGUG